rnacentral:rRNA from 1 species
GACGAACCGUGCGACCGUUAUUCGGAAUCACUGGGCUUAAAGGGCGCGUAGGCGGGUCGGUAAGUCAGGGGUGAAAUCCCACGGCCCAACCGUGGAAGUGCCUCUGAUACUGCCGGCCUCGAGGGGGAUAGGGGCGUGCGGAACUCAGGGUGGAGCGGUGAAAUGCGCAGAUAUCAGGAAGAACACCUAUGGCGAAGGCAGCUCUCUGGGACGGUACUGACGCUGAGACGCGAAAGCGUGGGGAGCGAACAGG